UACGUAGGGUGCAAGCGUUGUCCGGAAUUAUUGGGCGUAAAGAGCUCGUAGGCGGUUUGUCGCGUCUGCUGUGAAAACCCGAGGCUCAACCUCGGGCCUGCAGUGGGUACGGGCAGACUAGAGUGCGGUAGGGGAGAUUGGAAUUCCUGGUGUAGCGGUGGAAUGCGCAGAUAUCAGGAGGAACACCAAUGGCGAAGGCAGAUCUCUGGGCCGUAACUGACACUGAGAAGCGAAAGCAUGGGGAGCGAACAGG
rnacentral:rRNA from 1 species